rnacentral:rRNA from 1 species
CCUACGGGUGGCUGCAGUCGAGAAUUUUUCUCAAUGGGCGAAAGCCUGAAGGAGCGACGCCGCGUGGGGGAUGAAUGGCUUCGGCCCGUAAACCCCUGUCAUUUGUGAACUUGUAACGGAAGAGGAAGGGACGGCUAACUCUGUGCCAGCAGCCGCGGUAAUACAGAGGUCCCAAGCGUUGUUCGGAUUCACUGGGCGUAAAGGGUGCGUAGGCGGUUUGAUAAGUCUGAUGUGAAAUCCCGCAGCUUAACUGCGGAACUGCAUUGGAAACUAUUUGACUAGAGGAAUGGAGGGGAGACUGGAAUACUUGGUGUAGCAGUGAAAUGCGUAGAUAUCAAGUGGAACACCAGUGGCGAAGGCGAGUCUCUGGCAUUCCUGACGCUGAGGCACGAAAGCCAGGGGAGCAAACGGGAUUAGAUACCCCAGUAGUC